CACGUAGGGCGCAAGCGUUGUCCGGAAUUAUUGGGCGUAAAGAGCUCGUAGGCGGUCUGUUGCGUCUGCUGUGAAAACUCGGGGCUUAACCCCGAGCCUGCAGUGGAUACAGGCAGACUAGAGGUAGGUAGGGGAGAAUGGAAUUCCCGGUGUAGCGGUGAAAUGCGCAGAUAUCGGGAGGAACACCGGUGGCGAAGGCGGUUCUCUGGGCCUUACCUGACGCUGAGGAGCGAAAGCGUGGGGAGCGAACAGG
rnacentral:rRNA from 1 species